GACGCCAUUUGAGACGCCCUCAGUAGCGAAGCUUUUAUUCAAACGUCUUUUUAUCUUCUAUAAUGCCUAAUUGCCGUCUUCAUAAUCGAGACAAUUCAUAAUUAAUCGCAAUAAUUGAUAAAUUUCCAAGCUAACUGAUAAUUACUUUAAUAAUAUAACCUGUACUAUUGUUUCGGAUGAUCACUGAUAAUCUGCUGCGGAACAGGUUUUCUUCAGUAUCCUGUAAAUUUUCCUCAGGAACAUAUUCUAGAUUCUCCCUCAGAAGAAUCUUCCUUCCUUCGUCAGUUUUGAUUUGCAUUAGGAUUUUGGGAAAUGCAUGUUGUUUAAUGGUACUUCAUGGAACAUUACCAAUAGCAAUUCUUAAAGUGUAUGAGACAACAGUGAAUUAUUGUAUGCAUAUAUAACAAAUUUAAACAACAAGUAAAAUUUGUUUUGAAUAUUAGAUUCAUACAUCAGUAGUGAAAUCUGGUUGUAGUCCUUCAAGAUAUUGAACUUCAUUUUUAACAGAUUUAUUGAGUAAUUAUUUGUAAACAAUUGUGUGUUAAGAGUUGUGAAUUGAACACAUUGUCAUUACAGAGCAGGACAGGAAAAAAGGCUAAAAUGAAUCCAAAACAUUCUUUAGAAUUUCCUUUGA